rnacentral:rRNA from 1 species
AACGAACGCUGGCGGCAGGCUUAACACAUGCAAGUCGAGCGCCCCGCAAGGGGAGCGUCAGACGGGUGAGUAACGCGUGGGAAUCUACCCAUCUCUACGGAAUAACGCAUGGAAACGUGUGCUAAUAUCGUAUACGUCCUUCGGGAGAAAGAUUUAUCGGAGGUGGAUGAGCCCGCGUUGGAUUAGCCAGUUGGUGGGGUAAAGGCCUACCAAGGCGACGAUCCAUAGCUGGUCUGAGAGGAUGAUCAGCCACACUGCGACUGAGACACGGCCAAGACUCCGACGGGAGGCAGCAGUGUGGAAGAUUGGACUAUGGGCGCAAGCCUGUUCCAGCCAUGCCGCGUGAGUGAGGAAGGCCCUAGGGUUGUAAAGCUCUUUCACCGGUGAAGAUCAUGACGGUAACCGGAGAAGAAGCCCCGGCUAGCUUCGUGCCAGCCGCCGCGGUAAUAC